ACGCAAGUGUGAAACUUGAAGGAAUUGACGGAAGGGCACCACAAGAACGCGUGGAGCAUGUGGCUUAAUUUGACUCAACGCGGGAAAUCUUACCGGGUCCGGACACACUGAGGAUUGACAGGUAUUAUUAAAAUAUCUUAAUUUAUUAAUUUAUUUUAUGUUAAAUAUGCUAGUCCUUUCAUGAUUAUGUGAUAGGUGGCGCAUGGCCGUUCUUAGUUCGUGGAGUGAUCUGUCUGCUUAAUUGCGUUUCACUAAGGGCUUAUAAAUUACGUGUGUUGUAGGUACUUUGACCCCUACGUUGAAAUAUACGUAGUGCGUGUCUUAGUUUGCUUUACUCACACAAUUAAGUCCUGAAAGCAACGAACGUGACCG
rnacentral:rRNA from 1 species